CCAGCAACGGACUUCUGAACAUCCAGGGGGUUUGGACUGUCUGAAAUGUGGCAAAAAGGGAUACUGAAAGAAUGAAUACCAAAUCCGAAGGGGAAAGAAGGAGAAUUCAUCCUUCAUUUGGGUGAGAACUGAUGAAAACUGACAGGGAUGAGACUCCAUGUCAUAGAUGCCAGGAUAACAUUAAAGGGUCUGACACCAGCCGUAUUUUAUAAUGAGACCUGUGGAAAUCAAUCAGCC
rnacentral:sRNA from 1 species